AGCAGGAUGGGCUGGUCAGUGGGAUAGCCUCUGUGCACAUUUUGUGGCAAGUAGGAGUGACACAUCAUUCCUGGGAGGCCCCGUGGUUCCUGCCAAACCCAACCCCAGAAUUCUCCCUGAGGUGGUUUUACCAAACCCAUAACCCAGAACUGCUAUUGUGGUUUGGGGGUCAGCACCCACCAGUGCCAGGGCACUACUGGGAGGCUGGGACCUGACCAAAGCCCAUGGUGUCUGUGGCCUGAGGACAGGGUGUCUUGGGGCCAUGAGGACAGGCCACCAAUGGCCGUUGGGUCAUAGGGCCUGAGCCCCAGUGUUUGUCCUUCCCUGGCUCCUUCUGGUUCAGUCCCAUCAGGGCUCUGGAUCCCAAGACGCAGCAUCCAAGGUUCCCUCCAGGAAUCCUGGUGGCUCGGCUUACUUUGUCAUGUUUCAUCUGAUAGCAAAAAUAUCAGAUCGGCUGCACAGAAAAAUGGCUCAAAGUGCUUAAUGACCAGAAGAAAUCUGGGAGUAGCAAGAAGAGGUCUCAGGUGCUCUACAAGGGAGUCCCAUUUCAGGUGUGGGGCUGGGUAUGGUCACUCCUGCUGGAUGUCUAGAAGGUGAAAACCAAGGACCUAGGAAAAUACCAGAUACAGCCUUUCCACCGUCAUCCAGAGCAGGACAAACACGCCAGGUGGUGUCAGGAGCCCAGGUCUCCAGCUGGAGGGAAUGUCAACCCUGCAGUGGGAGCCCAUCAUGCAUCCUAGGCACAGAUGCUAACGUAGGCACCGCAGAAGCACUGCUGACUGUUUGGUGGUUGCUGUUAGGGCAGUGAGCCUUUUGUCCAUUCUGAGAUUAGGCUGGUUUCUCCUCUUGGCCCUGGCCUACAGACCAUAAAGGAAAACAGCAAGAGGUCCCCAGCAAACAUCUACAGAUGGCCCUGGACAUCAGCCACAUUCAGAGAAACGUGUCAUGUUCUGGGAGGGCUAAGGCAUCGAGAAUCCCAGUGAAUAUAUUGCCACCAUCUUGGAGCUCAGUGCCCUCAUAGUGUAACAGCACCAGCAGAUCUGCCUGUGCACAGACUUCCUGUACUACCUCACUCCUGAGGGGAGAUGCUUCUGCAGGGCCUGCGACCUGGUGCACAACUUUAGACACCAUCAUCCUGGAGCGGCACUGCACCCUCACUAGCCAGGGUGUUGAUGACUUCCUCAAUGCCAAGGCCACGUUCAAGAUUUUCGACUUCAGUGAUGCGUUUGUGCUGAGCAAGCCGUUUUGCACACCCUGGUCAGAAUGAAACAUUCCUUGGGAACUCGGGCCGUGAGAAGCAUCCUUCCUGAUCACCUGACUGUAGAAACAUCCUUAUCGCACCCUCCCGGGCAAAGGCCCAACAGCCUGACUGCAGGAACAUCCUUGCCAUAUCCUGCCGGGCAGCAAGCUCUACCGCCCACACCCCUCCUUCCCAGUCCCAUGAUCACCCCAGCCUGUGAGAGGCAGUUGGUGCUGGCAGUAAGCUGGUUUCCUCCUCUGCAGGGUUUUGCUAGUAAUAAAGGUGUUGCUGUUGAAGCCGUCA